UACAGAGGGGGCAAGCGUUGUUCGGAAUUACUGGGCGUAAAGGGCGCGUAGGCGGCCUGUUAAGUCGACCGUGAAAUCCCCGGGCUCAACCCGGGAACUGCGUCCGAUACUGGCAGGCUUGAAUCCGGGAGAGGGAUGUGGAAUUCCAGGUGUAGCGGUGAAAUGCGUAGAUAUCUGGAGGAACACCGGUGGCGAAGGCGGCAUCCUGGACCGGUAUUGACGCUGAGGCGCGAAAGCCAGGGGAGCAAACGGG
rnacentral:rRNA from 1 species